UACGUAGGGCGCGAGCGUUGUCCGGAAUUAUUGGGCGUAAAGAGCUCGUAGGCGGUCUGUCGCGUCUGCUGUGAAAUCCCGAGGCUCAACCUCGGGCUUGCAGUGGGUACGGGCAGGCUAGAGUGCGGUAGGGGAGAAUGGAACUCCUGGUGUAGCGGUGGAAUGCGCAGAUAUCAGGAGGAACACCGGUGGCGAAGGCGGGUCUCUGGGCCGAUACUGACGCUGAGGAGCGAAAGCGUGGGGAGCGAACAGG
rnacentral:rRNA from 1 species